rnacentral:rRNA from 1 species
UACGAAGGACCCAAGCGUUAUCCGGAUUUAUUGGGUUUAAAGGGUGCGUAGGCGGAUUAUUAAGUCAGUGGUGAAAGCCUGCAGCUUAACUGCAGAACUGCCAUUGAUACUGAUGAUCUUGAGUAUGAUUGAGGUGGGCGGAAUGUGUCAUGUAGCGGUGAAAUGCUUAGAUAUGACACAGAACGCCGAUUGCGAAGGCAGCUCACUGAGCCAUAACUGACGCUGAUGCGCGAAAGCGUGGGGAGCAAACAGG